CCUACGGGUGGCAGCAGUGAGGAAUAUUGGUCAAUGGGCGGAAGCCUGAACCAGCCAAGUAGCGUGCAGGAUGACGGCCCUACGGGUUGUAAACUGCUUUUAUACGGGAAUAACGCGCCUUACGUGUAGGGCUUUGCAUGUACCGUAUGAAUAAGGACCGGCUAAUGCCGUGCCAGCAGCCGCGGUAAUACGGAAGGUCCGGGCGUUAUCCGGAUUUAUUUGGUUUUAAGGGAGCGUAGGCCGCAUGUCAAGGGUGUUGUGAAAAGUGCGGGCUCAACCCGGGCCUUGCAGUGGAAACUGGCGUGCUUGAGUGCGCGGGAAGCAGGCGGAAUGCGUGGUGUAGCGGUGAAAUGCUUAGAUAUGACGAAGAACCCCGAUUGCGAAGGCAGCUUGCUGCAGCGGAACUGACGCUGAUGCUCGAAAGCGCGGGUAUCGAACAGGAUUAGAUACCCGAGUAGUC
rnacentral:rRNA from 1 species